UCUGCACUUCUAGCUCUGCUUCUAGGAGACUUGACCUAGGAAACCGCUAUAACAAGAAAUUCAUCAUGAUUCACUGCAGAAUUACCUCACCGUGCUGGGCAUUUCCAACUCUCUGACCCUGGUUUCGCCAUGAAUCUCAUGUCGGGGAGCAUGGAAAAGGCCUCCCAGAAGCAGGCAUAAUUUCCUGCCCUUUCUUCCAGCUUCUCUGGGCACUGUACUGAAGAGGCUGACCUCCCUGACGGCAUCAACAGACUUCCUGAUUCUCUAACUUCCUGAUGGAUUCAGCCAAUCAGGGUCGUGGACAGGGGCCAGAGAAUGGGAGGAAAGCCUGACCUCCUCCUUGCUGGAAUACUACAGUUUGAUUCAGAAAGGGCUGCAAAGGAGCGGG